GUCUCUGUGGGUGCUUCCUCCUUGACCAAGCCCAUGGCUUCAUGUGCCUCUACCAGUGCGUGAACAAAAGCAUCAUGGGUCAGCAGCUAAUCUUAAUAAGCAUACAUGGAGUUAAUCUCCGUUUGUUGGAACUUAGAAUGGGUCAGACUAAUGCCAAAACGAGAGGUGGACUUCGCCAUACCUUAAAUAUAUUCUGUCCUUCGCCACUGGGGCGAGGUGAAGGAGAAGCUGGUGGCAUUUCCUCCGCCACUGGGGCGAGGUGAAGAUGGAGAAGCCGGUGGCACUAUAUCAAGAGGCCGAGAUCAGAUGUGCACGAAACAGGUGUCUGCUUCAAUCCCUGGUAUUGUUCAGUUGCUCCUCAAUCUCCCCAUUCUGAUACUCAAUUGUUUUUAACACCACAUUGAAGGAUUUUGGGUUGAACAGUUUCAUUGUUGAGAUUUUGAUGCGAUCUAGGGCAUGAAUUAACAAUCAAUCAAUCAUUGUAAACAUGCCAUCUUGUUCUGACACCAGUGUUAACGAGCACCGUCCUAGAUCAUAGCA